GGAGUCUAACAUGCGUGCGAGUCUUUGGGCUUGAUAACCCCGUAAAGGCGCAAUUAAAGUAAAGGCGACCUCGCGUCGCCCAGGCGGGAUCCCGGCGACCUCGUCGUCGGGCGCACCGCCGGCCCGUCCAACGACCGCUUUGCCGGCCGGGCGGAGCUAGAGCACGCACGUUGGUACCCGAAAGAUGGUGAACUAUGCCUGGGCAGGACGAGGCCAGAGGAAACUCUGGUGGAAGUCCGCAGCGAUUCUGACGUGCAAAUCGAUCGUCGGACCUGGGUAUAGGGGCGAAAGACUAAUCGAACCAUCUAGUAGCUGGUUCCCUCCGAAGUUUCCCUCAGGAUAGCUGUCGCUCAUGUGCAGUCUCAUCCGGUAAAGCGAAUGAUUAGAGGCCUUGGGGUCGAAACGACCUCAACCUAUUCUCAAACUUUCAAUGGGUGAGAAGUCCGGUUUGCUUAAACUGAAAUCCGGCGCACCCCGAGAAUGCGAGUGACAAGUGGGCCACUUUUG
rnacentral:rRNA from 1 species